rnacentral:tRNA from 1 species
UGGGGAUAGCUCAGUCAGAAGAGCAUGAGACUCUUAAUUUCAGGGUUGUGGGUUCAAGCCCCACAUUGGGCAAAA